rnacentral:lncRNA from 1 species
AUGAUGGUUUGUUGCCUGCUGGCUCCACACAGGUGUGAUGUCCAUGCAUGUACCAUGUCCAAUUCCGUGAUCUCAAGUUAUUGCUGUGUGACUAAAGCUGAAAUGGGGAGAAUUUUGACCAAAUGUGGGAGAAGGCAAAGAUUGAAACUCUUGCUGAAAAACUUCUCACUAGGAUGCAUUUUGAGAAUAUCCACCAAUGCAGUCUUGGAUGUGGUAAGGAGCUGUGGCAUGCAGACAAAGCUCGCCUGGGCUUGCAUCUGCUCAGACUCAUUCCCACCAUUCUGGGUCCUUCUUUACUUCGUUCAGAGUUCAGCUCUGCUAACAUCAUCAGCAGCAGGAACCAUCUUUAACUGGAACUCCCAUGUGUUGUAAGUGAAGGCACAUAAUUGAGUCACACCUUCGAAAAGCUGGCAGCAUCUACUAAAACUAACCUUGUCAACACCCUAACACACAACCUCUCCACUGCUCUACCAAUACUUAACAGAGAUGGGUGUCUAUAGUCACCCAAAGACACACAACUUGAUGGCUGUAAUAGCUUUGUUCACAUUGGCACAAAGCUAGAAGAAAUCCAAAUGCCCACCAACUAGAGAAUGGACAAAUUAAUUUGGGGAUGUUCUUACAAUGAAAUACUACGCUGUGAGGAAAAGAAGGCAGCUACUGCUCCACCCAACAACAUGGAUGGGUCUCAAAAGCAUUAAGGUGAGCAA